AAUCAACGCUGGCGGCGUGCCUCAGACAUGCAAGUCGAACGAUUAAGACUUCCUUCGGGAAGUGCAUAAAGUGGCGCACGGGUGAGUAACACGUAAGUAAUCUACCCUCGAGUGGGGAAUAACGUUCGGAAACGGACGCUAAUACCGCAUAACGCAGCGGCACCGCAAGGUGACAGUUGUUAAAGGAGCAAUCCGCUUGAGGAGGAGCUUGCGGCAGAUUAGCUAGUUGGUAAGGUAAUGGCUUACCAAGGCUACGAUCUGUAUCCGGUCUAAGAGGACGGUCGGACACACUGACACUGAAUAACGGGUCAGACUCCUACGGGAGGCAGCAGUCGGGAAUUUUGGGCAAUGGGCGAAAGCCUGACCCAGCAACGCCGCGUGAAGGAUGAAGUAUUUCGGUAUGUAAACUUCGAAAGAAUAGGAAGAAUAAAUGACGGUACUAUUUAUAAGGUCCGGCUAACUACGUGCCAGCAGCCGCGGUAAGUCUCGCGUGA
rnacentral:rRNA from 1 species